GGUCAAGCUACAAAGAGCACAAGGGGAAUGCCUUGGCACCAAGAGCCGAUGAAGGACGUGACUAACUGCGAUAAGCCACGGGGAGCCGUAAGUAGGCACUAUAUCCGUGGAUUUCCGAAUGGAGCAAUCCGGCCGGGGUUAUGCCCGGUCAUCGUAUACUGAAUACAUAGGUAUACGAGGGGAACCGCCUGAACUGAAACAUCUAAGUAGGGCGAGGAAGAGAAAUCAACCGAGAUUCCGCUAGUAGUGGCGAGCGAACGCGGAAGAGGCCAAACCGGGAGAAGUAAUUUUCCCGGGGUUCGGACUGCAACGUGUAUCUGUGCGUUUAGUUGAAGUGUGUGGGAAAGCACACCAUAGAAGGUGAGAGUCCUGUAGACGAAAGGCAAGCAGAGCUAGCAGUAUCCAGAGUACCGCCGGACACGUGAAACCCGGUGGGAAUACGGGGGGACCAUCCUCCAAGCCUAAAUACUACUUGGUGACCGAUAGAGAAUAGUACCGUGAGGGAAAGGUGAAAAGCACCCCGGGAGGGGAGUGAAAGAGAACCUGAAACCUUGUGUUUACAAGCACCGAAAGCACGUCAACGUGCGAUCGGGUACCUUUUGUAGAAUGGUCCGGCGAGUGUGUGUCACGUGCGAGGUUAAGGACUUCAGGUCUGCAGCCGUAGCGAAAGCGAGUCUGAAAUGGGCGCAUGAAGUACGUGGUACACGACCCGAAACCGGGUGACCUAUCCAUGGUCAGGUUGAAGUGGAGGUAAAACUCCAUGGAGGACCGAACCGACUCUCGUUGAAAUGAUAGCGGAUGAACUGUGGAUAGCGGAGAAAUUCCAAUCGAACCCGGAGAUAGCUGGUUCUCUCCGAAAUAGCUUUAGGGCUAGCCUCGGAAUAGAUUACUGGAGGUAAAGCACUGAAUUGGCUAGGGGCCGAGAGGUUACUGAACCUUAUCAAACUAAGAAUGCCAGAUAAUCGUUUUCCGGGAGUCAGACAGUGGGAGAUAAGUUUCAUUGUCGAAAGGGAAACAGCCCAGACCCACAGCUAAGGUCCCAAAGUAUAGUUAAGUGGAAAAGGAUGUGGGGUUGCACAGACAACCAGGACGUUGGCUUAGAAGCAGCCACUCAUUUAAAGAGUGCGUAAUAGCUCACUGGUCGAGUGACCCUGCGCCGAAAAUUUAACGGGGCUAAACUAUACACCGAAGCUUGGGAUGUGUACAGUUAUUAAUGUUUUUCGCAAAGUUUAGAAGAAAAAAAUUCCGCGACGCGUCAAAGGCGAAGAGGAAUAGAAGAGGAAAAGGCGAAGCGUCGCUAAAUUCCUGAUAAGGCUAAACUAAGAGGAAGAUGUUAAUAACUGUACACAUGGUAGGAGAGCGUCGUAUAAGGGGUGAAGUCAGAGCGAAAGCGCUGGUGGACUUUAUACGAGUGAGAAUGCCGGAAUGAGUAGCGAGAAAUAUGUGAGAAUCAUAUUGGCCGAAAAUCUAAGGUUUUUGGAGGAAGGUUCGUCCGCUCCAAGUAAGUCGGGAGCUAAGGUCAGGCCGAAAGGCGUAGCCGAUGCACAUACGGUUGAUAUUCCGUAACCGCUUACCACUUAAGCAGAGGGACACCUUUGAAGGGAACAUCCCGGGCGUUGGUUGACCCGGGCGUAAGGGACUGAAAUUAUAGUAGGGAAGUGUUCUUGGAUGAGGGCGAGAAAAGCUCUGUGUAUGUAAGGUAAGUGCCCGUACCGCAAACCGACACAGGUAGAUAGGAAGAGGAUUCUAAGGCCAACGGGAGAAGGGUAGUUAAGGAACUCGGCAAAUUGACUCCGUAACUUCGGGAUAAGGAGUGCUCACCUCCGGGUGAGCCGCAGUGAAUAGGCCCAGGCAACUGUUUAGCAAAAACACAGGUCUCUGCCAAAUCGAAAGAUGACGUAUAGGGGCUGACACCUGCCCGGUGCCGGAAGGUUAAGAGGAGAUGUGAGAGCAUUGAAUUGAAGCCCCGGUAAACGGCGGCCGUAACUAUAACGGUCCUAAGGUAGCGAAAUUCCUUGUCGGGUAAGUUCCGACCCGCACGAAUGGUGUAAUGAUCUGGGCACUGUCUCAACUACCCGCCCGGCGAAAUUGUAGUACCGGUGAAGAUGCCGGUUACCUGCGACAAGACGGAAAGACCCCAUGGAGCUUUACUGCAGCUUGAUAUUGGGUUUCGGUAAUUUAUGUACAGGAUAGGCGGGAGACUAGGAACCGUGGGCGUCAGCUUGCGGGGAGUCGUCCUUGGGAUACCGCUCUUAGAUUGCUGGAAUUCUAACCUGCGGCCAUGAAUCUGGUCGGGGGACAUUGUCAGGUGGGCAGUUUGACUGGGGCGGUCGCCUCCGAAAAAGUAACGGAGGCGCUCAAAGGUUGGCUCAGCACGGACGGAAACCGUGCCCCUGAGUGUAAACGCAUAAGCCAGCCUAACUGCGAGCGUGACGGCGCGAGCAGUAACGAAAGUUGGAGUUAGUGAUCCGGCGGUAUGUGAAUGGAAAUGCCGUCGCUCAACGGAUAAAAGCUACCCUGGGGAUAAC
rnacentral:rRNA from 1 species